UGAGGAAUAUUGGUCAAUGGGCGAGAGCCUGAACCAGCCAAGUCGCGUGAAGGAAGACUGCCUUAUGGGUUGUAAACUUCUUUUAUACAGGAAUAAAAAGGCUUACGUGUAGGCCAUUGCAAGUACUGUAUGAAUAAGCAUCGGCUAACUCCGUGCCAGCAGCCGCGGUAAUACGGAGGAUGCGAGCGUUAUCCGGAUUUAUUGGGUUUAAAGGGUGCGCAGGCGGGCUUUUAAGUCAGCGGUGAAAUCUGGACGCUUAACGUCCAAACUGCCGUUGAAACUGGGAGUCUUGAGUAUGGAUGAAGUAGGCGGAAUUCGUUGUGUAGCGGUGACAUGCAUAGAUAUAACGAGGAACUCCGAUUGCGUAGGCAGCUUACUAAGCCAUAACUGACGCUCAUGCACGAAAGCGUGGGGAUCAAACAGGAUUAGAUACCCUGGUAGUCCACGCCGUAAACGAUGAUUACUAGUUGUAUGCGAUAUGAUAGUAUGUGACUAAGCGAAAGCGAUAAGUAAAUCCACCUAGGGAGUACGCCGGCAACGGUGAAACUCAAAUGAAUUGAC
rnacentral:rRNA from 1 species